rnacentral:lncRNA from 1 species
UUUUUAUCUUAUUGUUGUGUUCAUAUUUAUUUGAGUUGUUAUAAUUAAAGAGUAUAAUAGUCAUUUAUGAAAUUAAAGGAGUUUGUGUGAUAAUUUAAACAAACGUGGGGUGUGAGUGACUUUUUUCCGAUAUACAAUAAGUUUAACAAAAGUAUAUGUUAAUUUGGAAGAUAAACAAAAAUAAUUACCUUGGGUGUACGAAAUUCUUCCAGCUCAAAUUCUCAUUUUGCUUUUCGAGGAGCUCUCUUGACCGCAUUGUGUCCAACUACGAUAUCACAACACUUCAUUUGCUAGUCUUUCUGCUCUUCCAUUUUUAAUUUAAUAUUUUAGAGAAAAACUUCUUUGGGAUGACAGUAAUAUGAUCAUUUAAUAAAUACAUGCAUAUGUUUCAAAUGAUUUUUCUCUCUGCCAUGAAUGGUCAACUCUACAUACUAAAUUUUCCUCUUCAAGUUGUUAUAAAGUCAUACAAAUUUCAACCAAUCGUAAUAAUGUUAGUGUACACAUGGCAAGCAAUGAAAUGAUGGUAUUGUUGUCCAUGUAAAUGCUAAAGAUACAAGACUAAAUUGGUCAAAUCCUUGCUCUCAUCUAACUAAUUUCUUUUUCGCACGAUAUACAACAAAUUUUUUUCUUAAAAAUACAGGUAAAAUGAUAGCUAUACUUCCAAGAUUUUAAAAAAUGGUCAUAAAAAUUACUAUUUGCCAGUUUGGGAUUGCGGUUGAACUAAUUUCUUUUUCGCGCAAUAUACAACAAGUUUUUUCUUAAAAAGUAUAGGUAAAAUGAUAGCUAUACUUCCAAGAUUUGAAAAAAUGGUCAUAAAGAUUACUAUGUGUCAAUUUGGGAUUGCGGUUGAAAUUCAAUAAGCUGCUUAUUUCAAAAUUUUUGAUAAAAAUAAUGUUUGGUAAAUUU